rnacentral:rRNA from 1 species
GUGAGUGGUAGGGGAGCGUCGCAUACUGGGGGAAGCGUCAGCGGGAGCAGGCGUGGACGGUAUGGGAGUGAGAAUGCCGGAAUGAGUAGCGAGAAUUAUGUGAGAAUCAUAAUGGCCGAAAAUCUAAGGUUUCCUGGGGAAGGUUCGUCCGCCCAGGGUAAGUCGGGAGCUAAGGCGAGGCCGAGAGGCGUAGUCGAUGCACAUACGGUUGAAAUUCCGUAACCACCGAACUUUAAGCACAGGGACACAUGGAGAUAGCGGAACCCGGGCGAUGGUCGACCCGGGCGAAAGGGACCGAAAACGAGUAGGGAAGUCCGCGAUGCUCUGUGGCGAGAAAAGCUGUGAGGAAUACUAAGGUGCCCGUACCGCAAACCGACACAGGUAGAUGAGGAGAGAAUCCUAAGGCCAACGGGAGAAGGGUUGUUAAGGAACUCGGCAAAAUGGUCCCGUAACUUCGGGAGAAGGGGCGCCUGUUGACGCAGGCCGCAGAGAAUAGGCCCAAGCAACUGUUUACCAAAAACACAGGUCUAUGCUAAAUCGAAAGAUGACGUAUAUGGGCUGACGCCUGCCCGGUGCCGGAAGGUUAAGAGGAGAGCUUAGUCGCAAGGCGAAGGUUUGAAUUGAAGCCCCGGUAAACGGCGGCCGUAACAAUAACGGUCCUAAGGUAGCGAAAUUCCUUGUCAGGUAAGUUCUGACCCGCACGAAUGGCGUAAUGAUUUGGCGCUGUCUCAACAGCCCACCCGGCGAAAUUGUAGUACCGGUGAAGAUGCCGGUUACCCGCAACUAGACGGAAAGACCCCAUGGAGCUUUACUGCAAAUUAAUACUGGAAUUCGGUAAGUCAUGUAUAGGAUAGGUGGGAGACAGAGAAACAGGGCCGCCAGGUUCUGCGGAGUCGCCCUUUGGAUACCACCCUUGAUUUGCUGGGUUUCUAACCGAUCGCCAUGAAUCUGGUGACGGGACACUGUUAGUUGGGCAGUUUGACUGGGGCGGUCGCCUCCUAAAGUGUAGCGGAGGCGCUCAAAGGUUGGCUCAGCACGGACGGAAACCGUGCAGUGAGUGUAAACGUAGAAGCCAGCCUGACUGCGAGACCGACGGGUCGAGCAGGUACGAAAGUAGGAGUUAGUGAUCCGGCGGUAUGUGAGUGGAAAUGCCGUCGCUCAACGGAUAAAAGCUACCCUGGGGAUAACAGGCUGAUCUCCCCCAAGCGUCCACAGCGACGGGGAGGUUUGGCACCUCGAUGUCGGCUCGUCGCAUCCUGGGGCUGUAUUCGGUCCCAAGGGUUUGGCUGUUCGCCAAUUAAAGCGGCACGCGAGCUGGGUUCAGAACGUCGUGAGACAGUUCGGUCCCUAUCUGUUGCGGGCGUAGGAGAUUUGAAGGGAGCUGUCCUUAGUACGAGAGGACCGGGAUGGACAUACCUCUGGUGCACCAGUUGUCCUGCCAAGGGCAUAGCUGGGUAGCUACGUAUGGAAGGGAUAAACGCUGAAGGCAUCUAAGCGUGAAGCCCCCCCUAAGAUAAGAUCUCCCAUCUUGAAAGAGAGUAAGGCUCGACGUAGACUAUGUCGUUGAUAGGCCAGGGGUGGAAGCACAGUAAUGUGUGCAGCUGACUGGUACUAAUAAGCCGAGGGCUUGAUC